AGAGAGGAGGAUGUGAUUUGGCCAUCUGAGGAUCUCUCGCCUGGCUUUAUGGAGCAUUCAGCUGGCUCUGAGGGCCAUAUCCUGUUCCAGCUGUAUCUGCACAAGAAAGAUAUCUUCCAUCUUAUCAUGGCUGAAACAACAAAUGUAAAUGCUGGUGCUUUAUCCUGCUGAGACUACUGCAGGAGGACACUGGUGGGGAAAUUUGCCUAUGAAUUUUCAAAAAGGCUGAAGAUGAGCAGUGCUGGUAAACCUGAGCCAUCGGCUGACUCCUCAUUUCAGAAAAGUGUUCCGACUUCCUCAUUGUUCCCCAUGAAGAGGAUGGCUCCUCGUAAUCCAGUAAUACAAAGUGGUUUCUGAUUUGUGUGAGAACAUGGGAACUGGGAAACGGGAUUUGACAGUUCUUCUGCCAAGCUGUUGGAAUGAUGCUGCAAUACCCCAGUCAGGACUGACUGCUGAGAGAAUAACAGAGAAAUGAGAUUACCAUGAAACUGAGCGAACAGUGAUCUACAUUUUGCAACAGGCUCCCUGAUCCAGCGGUACUGGAUAUUGGCUGAUAGCUCAGGCAAGAUAGCACAUCCGUGGCGCAAAGCUUUGGAGGGGCCUUUCACGGCGAAACACCAUGAGCAUUGACCUGAGACGCAGCUUUCUGCUCCGCAGCCCGAGUCCUCUAGAACUCCGGCUUGCCUGCUCCCAGGAGAGGGCAGUGGAGCCGCACACGCUCCGUGCCGCGGCCGGCGGGCCGCUCCGUCCCCGCGGGGCUGUGCGAGGCACGCAUCCUAAGACAACAAGGAGCCUUGGCUGAAAACAGCAGAGUGUGGUUUUAAGCUACGCUCCUGUCUCGCCUGGGUUCUGCAGUGACUGGAGAAGCACUGAAACUGGAACAUCACCAAAGGCACUGAAACAAAAACUGAGCACUUGAGACAGCCUUUCUCAGCUGGGCGCAAGGUGCUGCAGGACCGGAGUGGAGCCUGUGAGACAGAUGACGGCAUUUGAGACCACCACGGAGCACAAAAUUAGACUGUUUUGUGGAAGCAGAAAUGCUUGGUAGUGGUAGGACUCUGUGCGCUUGCCUAGCAUGCCAUUGCAAGGACAAUCAGCAUGGAAAACCAGGACUUUGAGCUCUGCAUCUCUGCUUGAUCUUGACUUGCUGGUUGAUACCAGGAGCUGCUUCCCAGAUCCUCUUGAUUCGGUUCGAGAAGUUAGAAUUACCUGUAAUCAUUGGUAAACCAAAAGUCCCGAAUGGAGAACAAUGACAGGCGCCUACCGAGAAGUCAUCAUUUCAAAAACAUCCAGCUCCCCCCUGUGCUUUGGGAUGUGAAAGAAUGACGUUGGCAGAUAGAGGCCUCAAGUUCCUCUCGGAUGCAUCUGGACCAUUUUAUUAGGGAGUCCACUGAGCCUGUGAUCAGCCUGAGUGCAGCUGAUGGUGAGCAGCGCCAAGGUGUGGUACUGAGCUGCUGAUCAAAUUGGUGUAUUUCAGAAGACCUGAAAAAAUUAGAUGAUUGAAACAUCACUCGUAAGCCACAGCUUCGCCAUGAGGACUUUAGGAAAAGCAUGGCUGCACAGAGUACCUUCACCAGCAAUCUUCCAGCCUCCGACAAAACUAUUGUUCUUGAAGACCAGAAAGAUUGUUAUUGAGCUUUCCACAAAGCUGAAAUAAUGCUGUGUGUUAAAAAAAUGUUAACAAUUUGAAGAAGUUAUAAAAAUUUAUAAGUUGACUGAAUACUUUGGAAAUUUCUGCAUAUUUUAAUAUAAAUAGAAAAUCAAAGAAAUCGUGGAAGAUGGAGGAGUUAUUUCAGAUGCAUUUGGUGCAGUGAUGAGCUCAAACUUUAUUCGAAACUAUUAUGGUAAAAUAGAACAAGAAGAUACAAAAGAGAGAAAGAAGGAGUAGAAAGUGGUGGAAGGGAAGAGCCUCUGGACUGGUUCUCCUCCUGCUCUGCAGCACAGUUACUUGCCUUUCUCGUUGAGGCUCUUGUUCAUCCCAUCUACCACGGUCAAGAAGACUGCCACAUACAGAUACGGUGAUCAGUAUGUCUGGUCCAGUUUGAAUGCCCUGUCCUGGAGUGGGAAGCAAGUUCUGCACUGUAUGUGGAUGAAGUUAAUCAGUUUGCAGUAACAAAGUGUUGGAAGGGACUUCAAGAGCUUAUCUAUACAGAGCUGGCCAGCCUGUGCCUUGGAGGUGUGUGCAGUAUUGAGCAUUUCAGGGAUGCCUCUCACGUUUGGACAGCAUCAUAUACAAAGAUGUCUGUCCUGACCAGGGCCUCUGGGUAGUCUGGUUCCUGUCUGUGGCCCAACCAUCAUCUUGUGUGAAAAAAAAAAUAAGGUCUGGUCAAUCUCUCCUGCCUAUCAGUUCUUCCCGGACUUCUCUUCAGCUUACUGAAUUAUGUGGUACAUAUCUCACUGAUCUCAGCAGCAUGAAGACUGCAUGGUUUGUUAGAUUGGCUGCUACAGCUCUAUGUUCCAGUGUCAUUUCUGGAUCUAUUCUUAAAGGUCUCCACUCUGAACCUUCUGCAGUUAACCACUCCUGAUGCUUCACUAUCAACUUUUUGGAAGAGUUCCUUCCUCUAGAGUCAAUGAAUGAUCAUUUUGGUUCCUUCUCAGAUUGAGGAGUGAAUGACUAAUGUCAUUGUGACUGCUGCCAUCUAAUUUCUGCAAAAGAAUUCUCUGGCAGUUCUCAUGAUUGGCAUCAUUUCCCAUCAUGUGCAAGCUGUUGGACAGAGAAGACCUGCUUCUGAACUGUCGUGGUAUGGAGAAGAUAUAGAAGUACUGGGUUCCUAGAGCAGUUCAAUGCCUGCUGGGAAGAGGUGACAUUCAAGUGAUGAAGAAAUAGGAGUCUGCACCAUUCGUCAGCCUAGCGAGAAGGCGGCUCUAUGCUCACUUUGAAAGAGGGCAGUGCAAAAGUUACCUAGCGAUGUGAGUACUCUGGGCACGGCGGAGGAGCUUCCCACUGAAUGCGGCACAGCGGCACAGCUGCUGAGGAGAGCAUGGCAACAGCAAGAAAUGGAAUUCACUGAAGAAAGCGCUUGACAAGCCAUGUGAGAACCAGCGUGAGCAGCCAGUGGGCACAGCCCCAUCUUCUUGGAAAUUCCAGCAAGAAGAUUAUCAACUACUUUUUCUCCUCGCAUCCCAGUUUACAGAAUGGUUUGUUGUACACAUGCCUUUGUGAAGUCAGCAGGAGCUCAAAAAUCGGUUGGUUUGUUGGUUGUACCUGGAACUAUUCAGCUCUUUGGAGAUGGUGCUGUGGGCUCCCUUUUUGCGGGGCUCCGACCUGCUGAAAUUGAAGAGGGUUAAGCCUUUGCUCACAUUUAGGUCUGGACCAGACUCCAGUCUACCUUCCUGUUAGAUAUCAGCACUGCUGCCCUCUCCACAGCUCUGCCUGACACUGCCUCUCUUGGUAACCUCACCAGUAGUCACCAAACUUGCAUGUGCUCUCUGCUCCCCUGGUUUACCCAACCCUGCUUGCUUCCCUUCCUUGCCACCUCUCAUCACAAAUAACAUUGAUGCACAGCAGUGAAUAAACACUUCUUUAUAGAGAAAAAUAAAACUGUCUCUGAUGUGC